CCUACGGGAGGCAGCAGUGAGGAAUAUUGGUCAAUGGCCGUAAGGCUGAACCAGCCAAGUCGCGUGAAGGAAGAAGGAUCUAUGGUUUGUAAACUUCUUUUAUAGGGGAAUAAAGGUAUCCACGUGUGGAUAUUUGCAUGUACCCUAUGAAUAAACAUCGGCUAACUCCGUGCCAGCAGCCGCGGUAAUACGGAGGAUGCGAGCGUUCUCCGGAUUUAUUGGGUUUAAAGGGUGCGUAGGUUGUUUUUUAAGUCAGAUGUGAAAGGUUGUGGAUCAACCGUAAAAGUGCCGUUGAAACUGGAAGACUUGAGUGGGUGUGAGGGAGGCGGAAUGCGAGGUGUAGCGGUGAAAUGCAUAGAUAUCACGCAGAACACCGAUUGCGAAGGCAGCUUACUAAGCCAUAACUGACACUGAAGCACGAAAGCGUGGGGAGCAAACAGGAUUAGAUACCCCAGUAGUC
rnacentral:rRNA from 1 species